rnacentral:tRNA from 1 species
GGGGUGGUGGCGCAGUUGGCUAGCGCGUGUGAGUGAUCCUGAGGUCCAGAGUUCGAGCCUCUCUCACCCCA